UAGGGCUGAAAAUCUUUACCCUCAGUGACCA
rnacentral:piRNA from 1 species